ACCUCUGUUAGCUUGUGUGGAAAGCGGAGGCUUAUCUCCUUGGCUUGUUGUCCAUUAGGGUUCAUACCUGAGGGCUCAGGUCACCUUCUUCUUGUUAGCUUAGAAAAAUUAUAUCACUUCAUUAGAGGUGUUUGUUCAGCUUCUGAGUGUCCUCAGGCAUUUGGAUGCGUUGCUGGGGGAAUGCUGAUUUUGUCAGAGCUGGAGACGGGGCGUUUUGGGCCCUCUUUGAGGGAUCGUUCCAGGAUCAACUAGAAGGGAGAGCGUGGAGAUGCCUCUGCGGCAGGAUUUGGUGAGAGUUCUCCACUGGGUCCACUCCAUCAUAAUGAAGCUUCAACACAGGCCUCCACAGAGCUCCAAGAGAGGAAUCCAGGAAGGAGAAAGUGAAGGGAGAUGGGGCUUUCCAAAACGUCUGUGGCUCUUAUCAUGAUUUAGUCUCUACCAGACCUUGUAGACAUUAAACAGCAAGAAUGAGCACUAUUCUCACUCAGAAAAAGAAACAUUAUAUAGUGGAUGCUGGAACACUACCAUGAUGUGCUGUGAGAUCUUACCAUCUGCUAUUCCAUUAGGGGCUGUUUAUGAAAGCUGCCUCCCAACCAGAGAUAAUGCUGCAUUUUAACACGUUAGCUGAGUUUGUACUUUGAAUGAGCUUUCUGAUUUUUGAAUUUUUACUCGAUUUGACACCUUUCUGAGAGCUGGCAGAAGCAAUGUGUGGCUUGAUGGCUUAAAACGUGCAAGCGUUGGAAGGUAGGGAAGCAGCCUUUCUUCAGCGGACUCUUAUUGUGAACUCACUGCUGGGACUGGGGCUCCAAAUCAGCAGAGAGCAUCCCAUUAAGGUCAAAGAGCCUGUUGAAGAGUGUGGUGUCUAUGUGAGAAAAGGAGAAGGUAGGGGAGCUUCCUGUCUAAGGUGUUAAAGAAAACCUAUUUGAAGGCCUAAUCUUUGAAUUUCUUUGGGGAAUAUAAUUCUUCUUCUAAUUUGAAUGAACUCAAACUCCUGGUAUUUCUUCCGAUGUUUAGCUAAUAUACCAGAAGUGAUAACGGUUCCCUUUUACCUCUGAGAUUCAUAGUUGAUUGAGUCAUUAAUAAUCUCCUAAUUUCUGUGUUUUCCUUUCUUUCUGUCUUCAGGGAUCUCUGGAAGCUAAAUAAGAAAAAGAGGUAUUUUACUGGGAGCUUUUUUGCAGUUUGACAGCUCUUCAGGGAUGAAACUCACGCCUUGGAAAAGAAAAACAGCAGCCACAGCCCGUUCAUCUCUUAAAUCCUACGUUGUUUAGUCUGGUACCUUCAUCUUUGUCCUGGGAUUGCCAUGUGAAGAAGUUCUUUUCUGCUUUUUCUUAGUGCUACUCGUAGGUCCUGACAAGAUGUACCAUGAGAAAAGUAUUUGUUUCGGAAGCUGUUUCCUAUAACAUAACAGAACCUUAGAAAAGGAGUGGGUUUGAAUUCUAAUUGAAUUCAAAGCUACACAGCACAGAGUAACAACAGCAAACUCUGUGCCUGUACAGUUGGAAUUUUGCUGCCAAAUGUGGUUAAACAGUUUUUCACUUUUCCCCAAAACAUGAACAUUGUCUAAGUAGAAAAGUAUUUCCAUUUGUAGAAGGGACUUUUUUUCAUUUUGUACAUCUGCAGGCAUAAAAGGACCAUAAUAGACCACAAAUUAGAUCCGGGAACUGAAACAAGCUCAGCUUGUAACUGAGACCACAGGUCUGUAAAAAAACCUAUAGCAUCAUUUUUGGGUGAGCUCUUUUUUUUUCAUGUUUGUUUGUGUUGUUUUUUUUUUUUUCUUUUAUGGCAAAGCAAAUGAAAACUCAUUUUAUAUUCAAAUAUGACACCAUCUGUUCCCUGAGUUAGAAAAACUGGGUGAACUGAUCCAAUAUACAUUGCGCUAGAAGGAGGGGAACAAAUGCAGAAAAUAUCUCUUUCUCUCAUCUCUCCUGUUUUGUGUCCCACUGUUCCAUGACUUGACCACAAAGGACUUGCAGAUGGCACAUGAGUGUUUUGUUUUUUUUUUUCUGUUUGAUCUGGUCCCUCCAUUCUUCUGGGCUAGAAUUUUCCCUUUCCCAGUGUGAUCUGCUGUGUCUCUCCGCUUCCCUCUGAUGCAGCCUCUCCUAAUGCUCUGUCCCCUGAGGUGACGGAGACCAGAUCAUGUAGGACGUCUUACCAGCGUCCUGUGGCAAACUUCGUCUUCGAGUGGUGAUGCCACUGGGCACGAAGGAGAGGUGGUUUGUCAUAGGUGACACUUGCCUCACUCCUAUUUGUGUUCAACUCUCCCAAUUCUUCAUCCGUGAUCCCACAUAGCAGAGGAGGCUACCUGUCCUGCAGGAAUGGCUUUGACCAGUGCAGUGGCCAGCUGCUGUGCUGAGGACGGCAUCCGUAGGAGCUGAAAGUCCCACUCCCGACUUCUAGAUCAGUCCCGUGAGAGUCUCUUUUACUUUUGACCACAGCGAUUUGGAACCAGGACCAGAAUGAAACAGAUCGCUUGCAAUCAUCUGAAGUACUGGGCAAUGAUUGGGCAGUAAUUGAAUGAAAGGAGGAAGAGGACAACUGAAAACUCGCCGUGUAUGUAACUCUCUGGGAACGUGAAAAAUACUCCUAUGUAACUUUUAAGCUCAUCAGUUCAAACAGCAUGACAAAAAUAUUCUGCAACAACCACCAUCCCCACCUCCCCUCUUAAAAAAAAAAGAGAAAAAGAAGUCCCUAAGCUAGCCUGGGCCUGACAAUAGCUGGUUGUGAGGCAUAUGUUAAACAGUUUUCAGCUAACACGGGCAAAGGAAAUCAGCUAUGAAACUGUAUUAAGGAAAUAUGAGACUACUGUAAUCUGCAUAAAAAUAAAUUUGGGUAUAUUCCCAACACACAAUCGCACUGUGGAA